GGCUCAGAACGACGCUGGCGGCGCGUUUAAGCAUGCAAGUCGAGCGGCAAGGGCCUUCGGGCCCCUAGAGCGGCGGACGGGUGAGUAACACGUGGACAAUCUGCCCCCCGGCCCGGGAUAGCCCAGGGAAACCUGGAUUAAUACCGGAUGAGACGGGACCCGCGAUGGCGGGACCCGGGAAAGGCGCUGCGGCGCCGCCGGGGGAUGAGUCUGCGUCCCAUUAGCUAGACGGCGGGGUAACGGCCCACCGUGGCGACGAUGGGUAGCCGGCCUGAGAGGGUGGACGGCCACAUUGGAACUGAGACACGGUCCAGACUCCUACGGGAGGCAGCAGCUAAGAAUCUUCCGCAAUGGGCGAAAGCCUGACGGAGCCGACGCCGCGUGAACGAAGAAGGCCGUGAGGUUGUAAAGUUCUUUUCGGGAGGGGGAACAACCGUGGCAGGGAAUGGCCGCGGGAUGACGUGAAUCCCGGAAUAAGCCCCGGCUAACUACGUGCCAGCCGCUGC
rnacentral:rRNA from 1 species